CACGUAGGGUCCGAGCGUUGUCCGGAAUUACUGGGCGUAAAGAGCUCGUAGGUGGUUUGUCGCGUUGUCCGUGAAAACUCACAGCUCAACUGUGGGCGUGCGGGCGAUACGGGCAGACGUGGAGUACUGCAGGGGAGACUGGAAUUCCUGGUGUAGCGGUGGAAUGACGCAGAUAUCAGGAGGAACACCGGUGGCGAAGGCGGGUCUCUGGGCCGAAACUGACGCUGGAGGAAGCGAAAGCGUGGGGAGCGAACAGG
rnacentral:rRNA from 1 species